rnacentral:rRNA from 1 species
GAUGAACGCUAGCGGCAGGCUUAAUACAUGCAAGUCGAACGGGAUUCAGAGUAGCAAUACUUUGAUGAGAGUGGCGCACGGGUGCGUAACGCGUAUGCAACCACCUUUAACAGGUGAAUAGCCCCGAGAAAUCGGGAUUAAUACACCGUAACAUUGCGAGAUGGCAUCAUUUUGCAAUUAGAGAUUUAUCGGUUAAAGAUGGGCAUGCGUGACAUUAGCUAGUUGGUGAGGUAACGGCUCACCAAGGCCACGAUGUCUAGGGGUCCUGAGAGGGUUAUCCCCCACACUGGUACUGAGACACGGACCAGACUCCUACGGGAGGCAGCAGUAAGGAAUAUUGGUCAAUGGGCNCAAGCCUGAACCAGCCAUGCCGCGUGCAGGAANACGGCCCUANGGGUUGUAAACUGACUUUUGUCAGGGAAUAAACCUAUCUACGUGUAGAUAGCUGAAGGUACCUGAAGAAUAAGCAUCGGNU